rnacentral:rRNA from 1 species
GGGGUGCAGCAGGCGCGAAAACUUUACAAUGCCGGCAACGGCGAUAAGGGAACCUCGAGUGCCAGGUUACAAAUCUGGCUGUCGUGAUGCCUAAAAAGCAUUGCAUAGCAAGGGCCGGGCAAGACCGGUGCCAGCCGCCGCGGUAACACCGGCGGCUCGAGCGGUAACCGUUAUUAUUGGGUCUAAAGGGUCUGUAGCCGGCCGGAUAAGUCUCUUGGGAAAUCUGGCAGCUUAACUGUCAGGCUUUCAGGAGAUACUGUCUGGCUCGAGGCCGGGAGAGGUGAGAGGUACUUCAGGGGUAGGGGUGAAAUCUUGUAAUCCUUGAAGGACCACCAGUGGCGAAGGCGUCUCACCAGAACGGACCUGACGGCAAGGGACGAAAGCUAGGGGCACGAACCGGAUUAGAUACCCGGGUAGUCCUAGCCGUAAACGAUACUCGCUAGGUGUCGGCCACGGUGCGACCGUGGUCGGUGCCGUAGGGAAGCCGUGAAGCGAGCCACCUGGGAAGUACGGCCGCAAGGCGGAAACUUAAAGGAAUUGGCGGGGGAGCAC